GUGUCGGCUUGGCAUCCAGGCCUGCAAGCUUUGUUUCCGUCCGUGGUGAGAGGCAAGGUCUCCCCGUGUGGCUCGGACUGGCCUUAAACCCUCAGCAAGUCGUAACUGCUAGCAUUACAAGCCCGUGCCCUGCACACACCCCAGCCGUGACACCCUUGUUUUUCAGGGAGACUGUUUUAGAGAAGAGGGUACACAUCCAUUUGACUUUCAUUUCUGUCCCAAUGUGACCCCCUUUCCGGUGCACUAUGGUCCUGGGCAAAGGGUGGCUCACCCCGGUCUCCGCCUCUGUGUGGCUGAGUGCAUCCGACCUCCCACUCCCUUUGCAGCAGGGAAAAGGCCAGUACAGAGACAGUUCCGUGUCCGAGGGCAGGGGAGUUCCUGACCCAGGGCCGGACUGCAGGCGUCUGCUGCCCUGCCCUCUCUGUCCCCACCCCUGUGGUGACCACAUCUUCCUAUCAUCCAUGCCCAGAUGCCACCCAGCUGGCAUUCCUGGUUUCCGACAGGAUGGAUGGAUCCCCAGUUCCAGCUGCCCUGGGGAUCCCCAUAGGACCACGCAGCCCUGCCCUGGAGGGCGAGGAGCCCGGUGGGGUGAGGGGCAGGCCUGCAGGCCAUGUGAUCCCUGUCGUGGGCUCUGGUUCCCAGGCCGGCUGGCCAGAGGGAACUCAGGAAGUCAUAUCAUAUUAAUGAAGGAUGGUGCCUGGCAGGCUUGGCGUCCUGUCUCAGCAUCAGGGGCUUUGGAGGAGGAGGCGGGACCUCUGCUUCCCGGAGCUUUCUCCUGCCGACUUCCUGUCCCCAUCCCAUCACUCACUAUUCGGGAAGUCCCCUGGCUCUUAUGCCCAGGGACCUCAAACAAGCCCUCACUUUCCCAGGCCUCAGUUUCCCCUCUUACACCUCUAGGAGCCGGUACCCUGUGGAUGCCAGCCUCUGCUCCAGGGGCCUCUCCCUGCACCUAGGUCAGAAGUGGAGAGCUUGGGGUACGAAGCUGUGCGCUUCAGAGAAGUGUGGUUAAGAUCAGAUGUUCAAAGUCAUCCUCAACUACACAGCCAGGGCUCAGCCUGGGCCGGGCAAGACUCUCCCUCCGAAGGUCAGAGAGCAAAUGGAAGCAGGUGGGGAAGCACCAGACACAGCUCUCGCUAAGGGGACAAAGGGACCCUGGGGUCUGGCUCUGUGUGCGCCUCCUGUCUGGUACAAGGUGCCUUCAUGUGAGGGGUGGGCCAUUGGCACCCCUCACCGUGGUUUCUGGGAACAGAGCACUGCCUGUGAGGGUGACUCAGCAAAGUUGCUUUCUAGCCACCACGGACAACAGGACUCCGCCUCCCCAGGGGACCCCAGGGCUCUUCAGAAGAGGAAGGACAGGCCAGACACUGCAGAGAAUGGGGACUCACUCAGAGACACAGCUCCGGGAGCUGAGGGAGAAAGGAUGAUGGGAACUGGGGCUUAGCAUGUGAGACUACAAGUUAAGUGGUUUCGCUCACAAGGAUGUCUGUGGACCACAUGCAUGUCUGGCGCCCGCUUUAUGAUCCCAACACACGGAGGUCAGAAGCAGACGCUGGAUCACCCGGAAGUGGAGUUAUCGACAGGUAUGAGGCAUUGUGUGAGUGUCUGGCAUCAAAGCCAGGUCCUCUGCAAGAAGUGCUCUCAUCUGCUGAGCCACCCCUCCUCCGUGGGUACAUUUUUGCUGCUGUGUCUUACGCAGGGAUAGGCACGUGUGUGUGUGUGUGUGUGUGUGUGUGUGUGUGAAGUCUAUGAGGACGUGUACGGCCAGUCCACAGAUACCUUUGCACACAUGUAUCAACAUGUCAUAGCUCACAAUGACUUUAUAUCUUGUUUGUUUGCUUUGUUGUUGUUGUUGUUGUUUUUUGAGACAGGGUUUCUCCUGGCUGUCCUGGAACUCACUCUGUAGACCAGGCUGGCCUCGAACUCAGAAUUCGCCUGCCUCUGCUACCCAAGUGCUGGGAUUACAGGCGUGUGUCACCGCUGCCUGGUGAGUUUAUGUAUUUUUUGCUCAUGUGCUGAGGCAUCUCGAGGUCAGAGGACAGCUUGUGGGAAUUGGUUCUUUCCUUCCACUCUGUGAGUGAGUCCUGGUGGCCUCGGGCCCUCCGGCUUGGUGGCCGGUGCCAUUACAAGAAGAGUUGCCUUCCCAGCCCCAUCUGUGCCGCUCGCUGUGAAGCCUUGGGCUGUUCUUCAACAAAUGUCGACUCGUGGGGUCCUGUGUAAAAAUAAGAGACUCUAUCCUAUCUCAGAGGAGCUGUUGGAGCUAUCGUUCAUUCAACAAACCUAACAAUCAAGCCGGGCGGUGGUGGCGCACGCCUGUAAUCCCAGCACUUGGGAGGCAGAGGCAGGUGGAUUUCUGAGUUCCAGGCCAGCCUGGUCUACAGAGUGAGUUUCAGGACAGCCAGGGCCACACAGAGAAACCAUCUUGAAAAAUCAAACCAAACCUAACAAUCACUGUGUAGUAAGGCUGGAGGGACAGAGAGGGGCUCAGAAGACACCAUGCAGUGAGGAUGUGCACGGCCACAGGGUGUGCAGAGCCUGGGUAAGAGUCCCAGCCGAGUCACCUGCUGCUGCAGACCCCACUUGCUCUGCCGCCUUGGUGCCUUCCUUCCCGGGACCGCGUCUGUGCCUCACUCCACCCAUGCGUCCCACACACGUGCUGCACGCUGCCCAUGUUUGCUGUCAGGCCUGUCUUGUCUCGCCUUGCCCUAGCAUGGCUUCAAGAAGUUUCUAGACCCUUCCAGGCUGUCCUGCUCUUUGGGGCUUUGGGCUUUCUCUUUUCUCCCAGGUCUCCAGAGCCAAGCCAGCACUGCUCCAGAACUCGUGGAGUAUUGCGCAGGAGGUAGGGAUCGUGAGAAAGGACAGCCCAGCAUUGGGUAGAGACUGGGAGGGGCACUUCCUUAGGCGUGUGUGUAUACACACACACACACACACACACACACACACACACGCCCCCACUUCUUGGCCUGUGUCUGACCCCAGCUAAAUCCUGGUCCCUGAAGCUGACCUCAGAGCUGGGGGUGACAGGAAAGAGCUAAGGUGACCAGAGACAGUGUCAUUAGGAGUUGUGAAGUUAAUGAGAUUAAUUAAUCAAGUGCUUCUGGCAUCUGGCAAUGAUGCUAGGACUAGCUUUGUCUCCCUGCCCCCACACCAGGUUUCAGCCUCCUCCCAAUUUCUGUCAGUGCCCCUCCACCAUCCCCUGACUUCCCUCCUGCCAACCAGCUCCCAGAACUUUCCCAGCAGCCUCCCCAAAAGCAGCAAGGUGCGGGAGGACAGUGUCCAUUUGGAGGGGUGCUAAGUCCCAACAGUCUAGACCAGUGGUUCUCAAUCUUCCUAACACCAUGACAUUUUAAUACGGUUCCCAAGUUCCUUCCACACAAGGCUGGAAGAUUCUGGUCGGUGAGAGCCUGGUGGAGUUUAUCUCUCUAAUCCCAGCACCCCUGAGGCUGAGGAGGCAGAAACAUUGCUCUGAGAUCAAGGCCACUUAGGCUACAAAGUGAGAAACUGUAAAAACAAACAAAACAGGAGUAACGGUUUGUCUGUAAUCACUCACCAAAGCUACAAAGCUAGAUGCCAACUUAGAAGAAGAAAAAAAAAUCCCAACCUGUAACCCCAGCAUUCAGGAACAGAAACAAAAGGAUCGUUAUGAGUUCUGUUAGCCUGGGCUACAUAGUGAGAUCCAGCCAGGGCUACAUUGUAAAAGUAAGACCUUGUGGAGAGAGGGAGAGAGGGAGAGAGGGAGAGGGAGAGGGAGAGAGAGAGGGAAAUGGCUCAGCAGAGAAAAGCACCUGCCACCAACAGUUUCAUCCCCAGGACCCAGGUGGUAGAAGGAGAAAAUCAACUCUCACAAAUUGUCCCCUGACUUUCAUACACAUGUGAACACGAACACACACACUGGCACACCCAUGUAUGCACCAUCAAAUCCCUUUCAUCAAAAAAGAAACUGAAACUUGGGGCUCAGCAGUUCUGGGAGCCCAGAUCCCCUCAGGUUCUACCCUGUGAAGAGCUGGGCUUAGGGUAACCCAGCAGCUUGGGGGGGGGGCGCAGCUUCCCCACUCCUUCCCCCACCCCAGCGCAUCCUUGGCUCUCUCUCUGCCCCCCUUUUCCCUUGGGGCUCCCACAGACAUGAUGCAACCAGACUGGAUCGGGCUGAGAGGUGGGAGCAGGACCGAGAUGUAAUUACAGCUGCUCCAGCCUCCAUUCUACAGGAAGCUCAGAGUUGGGGCCCAGGGGACCCUAAUCCGAUGCAAAUGUAGAGCACUUAGCAGGCUCCCGCAAGGCCUCCUGGGGAGGAAAGCCCAGUGAGCCACUUCAGGAGAUGGAGAGUCUCCAUCAGCAAAAUAGCAGACUCUGCAGUGGGGCGGUGUCGAAGGAAGGCGGAGGGAGGAGUGGGUAGUUUUGAAUUGAGUGGCUGUAUAGAUAACUAGAUAAAUCAAGUCUGAUUUUCCUCUGGUUUUGUUUGCUUGUUUGUUUGUUUGUUUGAGAAGAUGUCCCUCCCUGGAACCUAGGGCUUAUGGAUUUAGCUAGAUUGCCUGACGAGUGAGUCUCAGCCACCCCGUCUCUGCCUCCCCAGCCCUGAGAUUACAACUGCAUUUCACCAUUCCUAAUUUGUUACAUGGUUGCUAGGGAUUGGACCCAGGCUCCCAGUGCUCUCCUGACAAGCACCUCGCUGCCGAGCCCCCACACUAGCCGCCUCCCUAGUUUCAAUGGAAACAUUUGUUUUUUCACGCCACUGUAAGAAGUCCCUAAGCAGCCCCCAGGCUGAAUGACAACCGUGAUUCCUUAGCCUACUGUUCGUAGUUGUUCCCCCUCCCCCACCCAAAAACAUUCUUCUCUGGAGGGGAGGGGGGGGCGCCUAAAACAAAGGAAACUAUCAAGGCCCAGGAAGCUCCGAAAGUCACAGAAUCCAUAUGGACAUGCAUGUGUGUCUGUGUGCACCUGCACUAGCACAUGCAUUGUGCACACAAGGACAUGCAGAAACAGCUCUGCAUACCUGUACGCAUACGCACACGUACAAUGUGCAAACGUGUACCUAUGUGCACACGAUCAUGCACACACUCAACCCAGGCACAACACACACAACCCAGCCACCACACGCACACACACGCUCGAGCACACACACACACACACACCCCACGGAAAUGAUUAAUCAAUCCACUUGACCAUGUGCUCACGGAAUCUAAAACCACCCCUUCCAUCCUCAGACUCCCGCAGCCCCUUUACAGUUAUAGAAGCACUGAGCAGUUGCUGCGGAAGAAGACACUCUGCCUGGGAGUCCCAGGGAUGCUGUUCUCCUGCAUCAUUAACUGUGCCACGGUGGGCUUUUCGGUGAUGUGGCUGCCUUUGAGUCACCAAUGUUCCUGUAAGUGACCUCAGUAAACUAAUUGGGUCCCCGAGCUA